rnacentral:rRNA from 1 species
UACGAGGGGGCAAGCGUUGUUCGGAAUUAUUGGGCGUAAAGGGCGCGUAGGCGGUGCGGUAAGUCACCUGUGAAAUCUCUGGGCUCAACUCAGAGUCUGCAGGCGAAACUGCCGUGCUGGAGUAUGGGAGAGGUGCGUGGAAUUCCCGGUGUAGCGGUGAAAUGCGUAGAGUAUCGGGAGGAACACCUGUGGCGAAAGCGGCGCACUGGACCAUAACUGACGCUGAGGCGCGAAAGCUAGGGAGCAAACAGG